UAUGUUAAUAGCAUAUUCAUUUGACGUUAGCUGCAGAAGAAGCACCGGCUAACUCCGUGCCAGCAAGCCGCGGUAAUACGGAGGGUGCGAGCGUUAAUCGGAAUUACUGGGCGUAAAGCGCAUGCAGGUGGUUUGUUAAGUCAGAUGUGAAAGCCCGGGGCUCAACCUCGGAAUUGCAUUUGAAAACUGGCAAACUAGAGUACUGUAGAGGGGGUAGAAUUUCAGGUGUAGCGGUGAAAUGCGUAGAGAUCUGAAGGAAUACCGGUGGCGAAGGCGGCCCCCUGGACAGAUACUGACACUCAGAUGCGAAAGCGUGGGGAGCAAACAGGAUUAGAUACCCUGGUAG
rnacentral:rRNA from 1 species